rnacentral:lncRNA from 1 species
GUUGUUAAAUAAAAAUGAUCAAACGAACCGAAACUUUUGAUUAUAAAGUCAGACUCGGGCUCGACUCUGAAAAUGAGUUUAGUCGCCGUGGUCUGUGGAGCUUAGACAUCUGAUACCAUAUGAGAUUAGUAGCUCAACAAAGAUUAACAACUAAAGCAUCAAAAUCAUUAACCAUUGAAUAGAAGUAGUUUUACAGUAUUUAUAGAGUGUCAAUCCGACGGUGUACCGCUGCGGACCGCACCACAAUGUGGUGAGGGGACAGCAUGACGUUCGCGAUCUUCUUGCGGUGGGUACCACGAUGGGUUCGGGCUCUGCAAUCAUCGGAUGAUUGGACUGCGGUCGGUUUGUUGAAGAAGGCAUCAAGGCGAGGUGUGUUUUAUGUCCCCGGAAUCACUCGUCGGUGAGGAAAAGCGGCCCGAAGCUGGCGAAGCAUGCCAUUCACUGCAAGUCUUGGAAGAAGCAGAGUUGAAGCAAAAAAUUUGUAUAACUUCGAACAGAUAUGGAAGAAACAGAAUAUCACCGAACCCAUCUGGUCAAACUCACUAGUCUCUUAGCAAAGAACCCAUCGCGAACCUCAUGCUGAUCCCACCUUCUCCGGAGCAUUUGUAUAACAUCGCGAACCUCACGGUUGUUCCGAUACCAUCGAAUUCGAAAAAGGUAAAAAUUAUUAUAUAUAUUUAUUCGAAUUCGUUUAGUUUCGAAUAAUAUUUCGAAUACGAA